UAUUUCAGAUGUGUAAUUCUACUUUUUAUCAGAGGGGUAAAAAUUUUUCAAUGGUUUACAAAAUUGUGUGGACCAUGACUGCAAUACCUGAUCUCUAUUUAAGAGGGUUGUCGUGGGUUUGUAUGGUUUUUCCCCCCCUGGAGCCAAUGAUGGAUGGCUCCAAGGCAGACUUCCUGGUGUGGACCAAGGAGAAGAGCCAAUUAGAAGUUUUAGUAACACCUCUGUGAUAACAUAUUUAAGAGAAAACUUGUUGCACAGAAGAAAUUCCAGUCAGGGAAAAGCUGACCGAAGCUCCCAGGUGGCCCUGCCUCCUCCCCUGCCACAGUGGGGGGGCGGCAGCAGGGCAGCCCGGGCUGCACAGCACCUAGCCCAGAGAGAAGCAGCCCCACAGCCCCGGCCGGAGCCAGCAUACGGCCCCAUGGGGGAGCGGCCACACAGCCCCCAGGUCCACCCCACAAGCAUUGCACGGGAGCACCACAGAGGCCAGGGCCGUAGAGAGCGGCCCUGAACCUCCUCAAGCAGCUUGUCCUGGAACCGAUCCUGCUGGCUGAGCCAAGCCAGCCGGGCUGGGGCAGACCCACUGCCUCCCCACUGUGGGCAGGGGUGGCUGGGCUCAGAAGCGCAGGGGGGCCACGGGCUAGGCCAGGGAGGCAGAGCAGCCCCACAGCCCCCAGGCCUGCCCUGCGAGAAGCCCAUGAUGGAGCAGAUGGAUGCAUAGGAGAAGGCUGUUACCACCUGUGGGAGGCCCAGGAUGGAACAGGGUCCUUCAGAAGAUCUGUGGCCCAUGGAGAGAGGAGCUCAUGCAGGAGCAGGUUAUUCCCAGGUAACUGGAGAUUUACAACACCUAAGAAAGUCAAGGCAUUGGUGUUCUAAAGACAGCACUAAAAGAAGGAAUAAAAGAAUGAAAGCAUGCAACUGCAAGCUUGUUAGCUAAGUACAGUUUAUUACAAAAGUCAGCAGUGUGCCCUGCAAUAUAAGAAAGACAUUAAGCCCUUAGAAAGCAUACAAAGGAGGGCCACAAGGAUGCUGAAGACCUAAAGGGGAAGCCAUAGGAGAAGCAGCUGAGGUCACUUUGUUCAGCCUGGAGAAGAGGAGACUGAGGGGAGACUGCAUUGCACUCUGCAACUUCCUUUUGAGGGGAAGAGGAGGAGCAGGCAAUGGUUUCUUCUCUGUGGUGACCAAUGACAAGACUUGAGGGAAUGGCCUAAAAUUGUGUCAGGGAAGGUUUAGGUUAAAUAUUAGGAAAAGGUUCUUCACUCAGAGUGGUUGGGUGCUGGAAAAGGCUCCCCAAGGAAGUGAUCACAGCACCAAGCCUGACAGAGUUCAAGAAGCGCCUGGAUGAUACUUUCAGGCACAUGGUGUGACUCUUGGGCACAGUCCUGUGCAGGGCCAUAAGUUGGACUCAAUGGUCUUUGUGGGUCCCUUCCAGCUUGGCAUAUUCUGUGAUUCUGUGAUAAUUAGCUAAAUUUUUUAUAUUUGAAUUUUUAAAUUAAAGAUGUUUGAGUUUCUGAAGAUUGGAUCCUGGUUUGCACAAUAACUUUUUUAAAGCAUAAAAACGUCUAGAGCUUUUGAGCAAGUUAUCAAUGCAAUCAUCAAGUUUUGCAUGUUUAAGUCUAUGUGAUUUUUCUAAAGAGAGAUCAGCAAUUUACAAAAUGUCCUAUUUCUGGACUAUGUGUUGGGGUUUCUCCCAUAACCACUGUUCUAUUCUUGUGACAUACAUUCUUCUUUGAAAUUUAAAACAUUACAACUUACCUUUUUGUUAUGCUUCUGGUCCCUAGUCAAUAAAAGGCUUUUAUAGUUA